AGCGAACGUUUGCGGCGGGCCUAACACAUGCAAGUCGAACGCACUAGCAAUAGUGAGUGGCGCACGGGUGCGUAACACGUGGGUAAUCAACCCUUCAGCCUGGGAUAACGACUCGAAAGGGUCGCUAAUACCGGAUACGGCGCGAGAGGCUUCGGCUUCUCACGAGAAAGCCACGCAAGGGGCACUGAAGGACGAGCCUGCGGCCAAUCAGCUAGUUGGUGAGGUAAGAGCUCACCAAGGCUAAGACGGGUAGCUGGUCUGAGAGGAUGAUCAGCCACACUGGAACUGAGACACGGUCCAGACUCCUACGGGAGGCAGCAGUGGGGAAUAUUGCGCAAUGGGCGAAAGCCUGACGCAGCCACGCCGCGUGAGCGAUGAAGGCCUCGGUC
rnacentral:rRNA from 1 species